GGAGUGGAGCUCUAAAUAUGGCAUUAUCUACAGCAGGCGGGCCUUGCAGUUCUCAAAACCGUGGAUAAACCCAUCGACAGUAUUGUCAAUGACCUCCCUCCUAAACUCUAUAGAGUCUCAAUACUCUUGAAUGCAGCAAGCUCAGAUGUCAAAAGGAAUCCAUUCGAACUAGGGGGUACGAUGACCUCGAGUCUUGGUG
rnacentral:lncRNA from 1 species